rnacentral:rRNA from 1 species
GAUGAACGCUGGCGGCGUGCCCAAUACAUGCAAGUCGAGCGAACAGAUAAGGAGCUUGCUCCUUUGAAGUUAGCGGCGGACGGGUGAGUAACACGUGGGUAACCUACCUAUAAGACUGGAAUAACUUCGGGAAACCGGAGCUAAUGCCGGAUAACAUUUGGAACCGCAUGGUUCUAAAGUAAAAGAUGGUUUUGCUAUCACUUAUAGAUGGACCCGCGCCGUAUUAGCUAGUUGGUAAGGUAACGGCUUACCAAGGCAACGAUACGUAGCCGACCUGAGAGGGUGAUCGGCCACACUGGAACUGAGACACGGUCCAGACUCCUAUGGGAGGCAGCAGUAGGGAAUCUUCCGCAAUGGACGAAAGUCUGACGGAGCAACGCCGCGUGAGUGAUGAAGGUUUUCGGAUCGUAAAACUCUGUUAUUAGGGAAGAACAAAUGUGUAAGUAACUGUGCACAUCUUGACGGU